rnacentral:misc_RNA from 1 species
GAUGAUGAACGCAGCGAAAUGCGAUACGUAAUGUGAAUUGCAGAAUUCAGUGAAUCAUCGAGUCUUUGAACGCACAUUGCGCCCCCUGGUAUUCCGGGGGGCAUGCCUGUCCGAGCGUCAUUGCUGCCCUCAAGCACGGCUUGUGUGUUGGGCCUCCGUCCUCCUCCCGGGGGACGGGCCCGAAAGGCAGCGGCGGCACCGCGUCCGGUCCUCGAGCGUAUGGGGCUUCGUCACCCGCUCUUGUAGGCCCGGCCGGCGCUUGCCGACACAUCAAUCUUUUUUCCAGGUUGACCUCGGAUCAGGUAGGGAUACCCGCUGAACUUAAGCAUAUCAAUAAGCGGAGGA